CGGAGGGCGCAAGCGUUGUUCGGAAUUACUGGGCGUAAAGCGCGCGCAGGCGGGAAGGUAAGUCUGGAGUGAAAUUCCGGGGCUCAACUCCGGAGCUGCUUUGGAUACUGUCUUUCUAGGGACCGGUAGAGGCCGGUGGAAUUCCCGGUGUAGCGGUGGAAUGCGUAGAGAUCGGGAAGAACACCCGUGGCGAAGGCGGCCGGCUGGGCCGGAUCCGACGCUGAGGCGCGAAAGCGUGGGGAGCAAACAGGAUUAGAUACCCUGGUAGUCCACGCUGUAAACGAUGGGCACUAGGUGCCGGGGGGAGCGACCCCGUCGGUGCCGUAGCUAACGCGAUAAGUGCCCCGCCUGGGGAGUACGGCCGCAAGGCUG
rnacentral:rRNA from 1 species